GGUAGGGGCGCUUUUAUUGGAACAAGACCAUUCGCCCGGUCCGCCGGGCGUCUCCUUGAUGAAUCCAAAUAACACAUCAGAUCGCAUGGUCCUCGUACCGGCGACUUAUCUUUCAAAUGCCUGACUUAUCAACUGACGAUGGUAGACUCUGUGUCUACCAUGGCUCCUACGGGUAACGGGGAAUCAGGGUUCGAUUCCGGAGAGGGAGCCUGAGAAACGGCUACCACAUCCAAGGAAGGCAGCAGGCACGCAAAUUACCCACUCCCGGCACGGGGAGGUAGUGACAAAAAAUAACGAUACGGGACUCGAUAUGAGGCCCCGUAAUCGGAAUGAGUACACUUUAAACCCUUAUUCAAAUAUCAAUUGGAGGGAAAGUCUGGUGCCAGCAGCCGCGGUAAUUCCAGCUCCAAUAGCGUAUAUUAAAGUUGUUGCGGUUAAAAAGCUCGUAGUUGGUUCUGCGUCCCACGCUGUCGGUACACCUUUUGUUGGUGACACUGGCAUGCCGUGGUAUGUCCUGUCGGUGGCGGCCUUCGGUGGCCCUAGCGCUUCGGAUAAAACCGUUGUGCGAAGGUCUACCCGGUCGCCGGCUACUAUCCUACUCCGGUGCUCUUCAUUGAGUGUCGAGGUAGGCCGACACGUUUACUUUGAACAAAUUUGAGUGCUUAAAGCAGGCAAAAAUCUCUGCCUGAAUAGUGGUGCAUGGAAUAAUGGAACAGGCCCUUGGUUCUAUUUUGUUGGUCUUCGGAACACAAGGAAAUGAUCAAUGUGGACAGGCGGGGGCAUUCGUAUUGCGGCUCCGAUGACUCGGCGGGGAGCUUUCUUCGGGAAACCAAAGCUUUUGGGUUCCGGGGGAAGUAUGGUUGCAAAGCUGAAACUUAAAGGAAUUGACGGAAGGGCACCACAAGGAGUGGAGCCUGCGGCUUAAUUUGACUCAACACGGGAAACCUCACCAGGUCAGGACAUUGGAAUGAUUGACAGAUUGAUAGCUCUUUCUUGAUUCAGUGGGUAGUGGUGCAUGGCCGUUCUUAGUUGGUGGAUCGAUUUGUCUGGUUAAUUCCGAUAACGAACGAGACUCUAGCCAAUUAACUAGACGUUUCCGGUAUCGAAGCUACCGGCGAUAUAUUAUCUUCUUAGGGGGACAGGCGGCUCUUAGCCGCACGAGAUUGAGCAAUAACAGGUCUGUGAUGCCCUUAGAUGUCCUGGGCCGCACGCGCGCUACACUGAAGGAAUCAGCCUGUUCGUUCCCUUGGCCGAAAGGCCCGGGUAACCCGCUGAACCUCCUUCGUGCUAGGAAUUGGGGCUUGCAAUUGUUCCCCAUGAACGAGGAAUUCCUAGUAAGCGCGAGUCAUAAGCUCGCGUUGAUUACGUCCCUGCCCUUUGUACACACCGCCCGUCGCUACUACCGAUUGAAUGAUUUAGUGAGGUCUUCGGACCGGCGGUAAGCCCAACCGACUUCGGCCGGUUUUGUCGAACGCUGGAAAGAUG
rnacentral:rRNA from 1 species